rnacentral:lncRNA from 1 species
ACUUGGGCAGCUUGCAUUACUUUUGCCAACUUGCAUGUAGAAACAAUAUUAAAAGGGGAACUUGCAUCUCCACCACAUGUUUUUAGCACAUGUCUCCUCCACUUGUAAUAAACUAACAAUUAAAAGAAGCAAGUUGGCUUCUUUCAUUUUAUCAUUAUCCGAAAGCUCUCCCAUCCACUUGCAAUACAUGCAUGUAUCUU